GUAGUCCACGCCCUAAACGAUGUCGACUGGUUGUUGGGGGUUUGACACUCUCAGUAACGAAGCUAACGCGUGAAGUCGACCGCCUGGGGAGUACGGCCGCAAGGUUAAAACUCAAAGGAAUUGACGGGGACCCGCACAAGCGGUGGAUUAUGUGGAUUAAUUCGAUGCAACGCGAAAAACCUUACCUACCCUUGACAUGUCCGAGAGGCUCCAGAAAUGGGGCUGUGCCCGAAAGGGAAUCGGAACACAGGUGCUGCAUGGCUGUCGUCAGCUCGUGUCGUGAGAUGUUGGGUUAAGUCCCGCAACGAGCGCAACCCUUGUCAUUAGUUGCUACCCGCAAGGGAGCACUCUAAUGAGACUGCCGGUGACAAACCGGA
rnacentral:rRNA from 1 species